GGAUCGCGUUAGGAAAACAAGGAUGCGGUCGAGUUACGAUCGGGGAUUGUAGAAGAGCAAAGAUCUGAAUUUAUUCGCUUCGGGAUCAGCCAGUGUGCUAGCUUGGCAAAAUCGGUCUGAAGUUACGACCACUAAACUCUGCUGAAAAGUAAGAAGGGGAGUAACUGUGAGCCGUCUGACAACAAAAAACCAAGUUCCCAGGUGCCAGGUGUGAUCGUGCAUCGUGAUGAGCCAGAGGCUCCUUAACAGAGCCGGAGUUUGAGGACUGAUCAGGGAGCUGCCGCCAAUGGCGUAAAUCUGUGGCUGUAGGACGGCUUGGCCCCCCGAGUGCGGCGGUGCUCCCCCCCC